rnacentral:rRNA from 1 species
GAAAUUCCAAUCGAGCCCGGAGAUAGCUGGUUCUCCCCGAAAUAGCUUUAGGGCUAGCCUCAAGGUGAGAGAUACGGAGGUAGAGCACUGAAUGUCCUAGGGGGGAUUGCACCUACCGAAGACUAUCAAACUCCGAAUGCCGUCAUCUUAUACUUGGGAGUCAGACUGUGGGUGAUAAGAUUCAUAGUCGAAAGGGCAACAGC